rnacentral:rRNA from 1 species
AUCCUUGACCAGGCCACACCCACACGGUGUUCUACAGCAGUGAUUAAUAUUAAAAAUGAGCGAAAGCUUGAUUUAGCCAUAGUAAUAAUAGAGUCGGUAAAUUUCGUGCCAGCCACCGCGGUUAUACGAAAGACCCAAGAUAACGGCCCACGGCGUAAAGCGUAGUUAGAAUUAACCAACACUAAGGACAAACAUCUUCUACGCUGUGAAACGCUUAAGAAGACAAGAAUACCAUCACCUUAUAAAUAUUUAACACUACGAAAGCUAAGACACAAACUGGGAUUAGAUACCCCACUAUGCUUAGCCCUAAACUUAGAUAGCAAAAAUACUACCUAUCCGCCAGAGAACUACAAGCAAAAUACUUAAAACUCAAAGGACUUGGCGGCAUUCCAUAUCAACCUAGAGGAGCCCGUCUAAUAAUCGAUAAUACGCGCUCAACCCAACCAUUUUUGGCCACUCCAGCCUAUAUACCGCCGUCGUCAGCUAACCUUGUGAAAGAAAAGUAGUAAGCACAAUAGCCCUCGCUAAAACGUCAGGUCAAGGUGUAGCUAAUAAAAUGGAUAUGAUAGGCUACAUUUUCUAAUAUAGAAAAAACGGAAAAUACAAUGAAAUCUUGUAAUAGAAGGUGAAUUUAGAAGUAAAUUAAGAAAGGAUC